AAGAUUUUAAGUUAAAAAAACUGUAUGCCUUCAAAGCAUAAUAUAAUUCCAAUUAAAUCUUA
rnacentral:tRNA from 1 species